rnacentral:rRNA from 1 species
AGCGAACGCUGGCGGCAGGCUUAACACAUGCAAGUCGAACGGACCCUUCGGGGUUAGUGGCGGACGGGUGAGUAACACGUGGGAAUGUGCCUUUAGGUUCGGAACAACACAGGGAAACUUGUGCUAAUACCGAAUGUGCCCUUCGGGGAAGGAUUAUUGCCUUAGAGCAGCCCGCGUCUGAUUAGCUUGUUGGUGAGGUAAAGGACUCACCAAGGCGACGAUCAGUAGCUGGUCUGAGAGGAUGGCCAGCCACAUUGGGACUGAGACACGGCCCAAACUCCUACGGGAGGCAGCAGUGGGGAAUUUUCCACAAUGGGGGCGAACCCUGAUGGAGCAACGCCGCGUGCAGGAUGAAGGCCUUAGGGUUGUAAACU